rnacentral:snRNA from 1 species
AAGCAUGAGGACCUUAGUUGGAUUCCCCCUUGAUAGCCAGUGUUGAUUUGGCUAAUCUGGCUGGCUAGGGGUGUGUCCCCUUCCAUCCUCACGGCUCCAUGUGUGUCCCUGCCAAAGUUGCAUACUCGGUCAAAGAGGAAGACCUGCCCUGAAGAGAGGAGGACCAGUCUUCAGUCAAGGGUACACAGGUAGCCAGGCUUCCCUUCUAGAACCUCCAACACGCUGUCAAGGUUCUUUUGUAGAACAUAGGGUAGUCAAGCUUUCAAGAUUCAAAAUACAUCCAAAUGAGGCGCUGCACAUGACAGUCCGCCUUUCUUA